AGAGUUUGAUCCUGGCUCAGAGCGAACGCUGGCGGCAGGCUUAACACAUGCAAGUCGAGCGGGCGUAGCAAUACGUCAGCGGCAGACGGGUGAGUAACACGUGGGAACGUACCUUUUGGUUCGGAACAACACAGGGAAACUUGUGCUAAUACCGGAUAAGCCCUUACGGGGAAAGAUUUAUCGCCGAAAGAUCGGCCCGCGUCUGAUUAGCUAGUUGGUGGGGUAAUGGCCCACCAAGGCGACGAUCAGUAGCUGGUCUGAGAGGAUGAUCAGCCACAUUGGGACUGAGACACGGCCCAAACUCCUACGGGAGGCAGCAGUGGGGAAUAUUGGACAAUGGGCGCAAGCCUGAUCCAGCCAUGCCGCGUGAGUGAUGAAGGCCCUAGGGUUGUAAAGCUCUUUUGUGCGGGAAGAUAAUG
rnacentral:rRNA from 1 species